rnacentral:rRNA from 1 species
AUUGAACGCUGGCGGCAUGCUUUACACAUGCAAGUCGAACGGCAGCGCGGGCUUCGGCCUGGCGGCGAGUGGCGAACGGGUGAGUAAUACAUCGGAACGUGCCCAGCAGUGGGGGAUAGCUCGGCGAAAGCCGGAUUAAUACCGCAUACGACCUGAGGGUGAAAGCGGGGGAUCUUCGGACCUCGCGCUAUUGGAGCGGCCGAUGGCAGAUUAGCUCGUUGGUGGGGUAAAGGCUUACCAAGGCGACGAUCUGUAGCUGGUCUGAGAGGACGACCAGCCACACUGGGACUGAGACACGGCCCAGACUCCUACGGGAGGCAGCAGUGGGGAAUUUUGGACAAUGGGCGAAAGCCUGAUCCAGCAAUGCCGCGUGUGUGAUGAAGGCCUUCGGGUUGUAAAGCACUUUUGGCGGGAACGAAAAGGACUGUGCCAAUACCACGGUUCGAUGACGGUACCCGCAGAAUAAGCACCGGCUAACUACGUG